GAUGAACGCUGGCGGCGUGCCUAAUACAUGCAAGUCGAGCGAACAGACGAGGAGCUUGCUCCUCUGACGUUAGCGGCGGACGGGUGAGUAACACGUGGAUAACCUACCUAUAAGACUGGGAUAACUUCGGGAAACCGGAGCUAAUACCGGAUAAUAUAUUGAACCGCAUGGUUCAAUAGUGAAAGACGGUUUUGCUGUCACUUAUAGAUGGAUCCGCGCCGCAUUAGCUAGUUGGUAAGGUAACGGCUUACCAAGGCAACGAUGCGUAGCCGACCUGAGAGGGUGAUCGGCCACACUGGAACUGAGACACGGUCCAGACUCCUACGGGAGGCAGCAGUAGGGAAUCUUCCGCAAUGGGCGAAAGCUUGACGGAGCAACGCCGCGUGAGUGAUGAAGGUCUGCGGAUCGUAAAACGCUGUUAUUAGGGAAGAACAAAUGUGUAAGUAACGAUGCACGUCUGGACGGUACCUAAGCAGAAAGCCACGGCUAACUACGG
rnacentral:rRNA from 1 species